CUCCAUGUCAAGUCUAGGGUACGUAUAAGAGAACACAAUCUCCUCCACACAUCUACGCAGUCCUUGCAUCGUAAACAAUCAAUCAGGUUGAGAAAAAUUAGGUUCAGGAGGUUAAUUGAAAUUGUAAAUAUCAAAAUCCUACCGCAAAGACAACUCUUGUCCCAGGGUAAUGUCCUUUUAAAUAAUAAACUUACAAACAUCUGCUAUCCUAAAUCUUUUCAUAUCUCUCUGCAGUAGAAAAUAUCUUUUGACUGGAAAGCAAUGUCCUCUCAAAGAAAUCCUUAAGAACUUCGGUAUAUGAUCUCCUGCAGGAAUGAAUACAUCUUAGUGAAGGCAACAAAGGAU